rnacentral:rRNA from 1 species
AUUGAACGCUGGCGGCAUGCUUUACACAUGCGAGUCGAACGGCAGCGCGGGGCAACCUGGCGGCGAGUGGCGAACGGGUGAGUAAUAUAUCGGAACGUACCCAGAAGUGGGGGAUAAGGUAGCGAAAGUUACGCUAAUACCGCAUACGAUCUACGGAUGAAAGUAGGGGACCGCAAGGCCUUAUGCUUUUGGAGCGGCCGAUAUCUGAUUAGCUAGUUGGUGAGGUAAAGGCUCACCAAGGCGACGAUCAGUAGCUGGUCUGAGAGGACGACCAGCCACACUGGAACUGAGACACGGUCCAGACUCCUACGGGAGGCAGCAGUGGGGAAUUUUGGACAAUGGGCGCAAGCCUGAUCCAGCAAUGCCGCGUGAGUGAAGAAGGCCUUCGGGUUGUAAAGCUCUUUUGUCAGGGAAGAAACGGUAGAGGCUAAUAUCCUUUGCUAAUGACGGUACCUGAAGAAUAAGCACCGGCUAACUACGUG